rnacentral:lncRNA from 1 species
AAAAACUUAAUCAUGAAGAAAUCAAUUAGAUUUCAUUGAAUCUUCCUCUCUUACAUUUUGAUUGUUGAUCGAGACGAGCAAGAUCUAGCCACUAUUAUUGGAGACCACGGUGGCCAUGGAAAGAAACAUCACACCAACCUUAUCUGCAAAUUUUGACGGAGACGGCUGCCGGCCUGGAUUUUUUCAUGGGUCCAAGUCAACAAGUCCAGAUCACUCCUAGUUGUGUGGUUGUUUAAUAAAAUAAUAGAAGUAUGGAAACUGGUUGUGCAGCCUUAGAGGAUCCUAAUCGAUGGCACGAGUUUUUUCAAAAUCGAUUCACAACGGCGGAGAUACUAUGAUGAUGUUGUAUAUGGUGGGCUUCUCUCUCUCCAUCUUGUCCAUGGCGAUCUUCGUAUGUGGAAAAUCCAAGAAAAAAAUGAAACAUGGUGGCCAUGGUGGUAGUUCUAGUGCCGAUGGCGGUGAUGGAGGAGGUGGCGGCAACGGAGGAGGUGGUGGCGGCAACGGAGGAGGUGGUGGCGGCAAUGGAGGAGGUGGUGGCGGCAACGGAGGAGGCUAGGAGGAGUAGUUAAUGCUUAACUAUAGUAUAAUUAUAUAAAUAAAAUAAGAAUUGUUAUUUUCUAUUUUGUGAAUGAUUGGUUUGAGCAAAGAUUGAUCAAUAUAUAUGCAAAUACACUACAAAAAAAAUAAACUUUUAACGACCGAUUUUGGCAUUAAUGUCUAAAUUUUCGCCUAUCUUUUGAAAUCAUUCUUUCGAAAACCCACAAAAAAUCAUAAAUCCCCAAUUCUGUUUGUCUAAUUUUUGUCUAUAUGGUCUUAAAAUUAUAAUUUUUAUUUAAAUAUUUUUUUUCGGGUUGGUAGAUCUCUUACGAUUCACACCGACAAGCCUAAAUCAGACCGAAUCCGCCUUGAUCCUAACCAAAUUCACAUUAAGGAUGGUGCCUUGCAUCUGCGCAAAAGCACGCACUGUGUAACGGAAUUAGUGAAGUAAUUAGAAUUCAGGGAUUAACUCUGUAAUUAGAGAACAGAGUAAUUAAAAUAAACUCUGUAAAUUAAACUAAAUUCUGGAUAUAAAUAUAAUUAAUAAUAUCUUUAGAGUGUUUUACAAUUUCUAUUUAAGUUUCAUUAUGCAGAUAAUUUACCCAAAACUCAUUCCAAGCAUAACUGAGAAGUCGAGAGACAUAGCUGCAAAUGUUUCAAGUUUAACAAAGUUGAGUUUGUUAAAUGUAAUUGAUAUAAAAACAAAGCUAUGAUUAGCAGUUGAAUUAAUGAAAACUAAUUACACAACUAAUCUCUCUCGUUUUCACUGUCACCCAAGAACAAUUAAUAUUGUAGCCCAAAGUUCUUCCCUUUUUAUCUUCUACCACCGGACCAGCCCACCUCCGGCGACCCAUCGACGGUGUUUCUCUUUUCAGUCCAACCCACACUGGUUUUAACAUGGUAUCAGUUGGAAACGACGUCAAUUUGGACCUUAAUUCCGCAAUGGCAGCUUCUGAAAACUUUGUUUCUGAAAGAUCAAUGGACAAUUCAGAAGAAUUAUCAUCCAGUCCGAGAGAAAAUGCAAGAUUUUUCAGAUCUUCAAGAAGAAAAGAUAAAAGAUCUGAACAAUAAACACCAUCAACCAAUGAAUAAGAAGUGCUCAAGAAAAUCUCUUUUCUUUCUCACUGCUAGCUGGUGAAGCCAACUAACUGGAGAAGCCAACUAUGUAGUCUGGGCAAAUGCAAUGAAAUUAUCUUUGGUCUCAAGAAAGAAAACUGCAUUCAUCAAUGGGAAAAUUAAAAGACCUAUAGAUGAAACAGAGGAGGAGUUUGAAGAUUGGAAGAUGGUGAAUGGGCUGAUUUUGUCUUGGAUUAUAAAUGAAGUGAACCCUCAGAUAACAUCAACUCUAAUCCACACAAAUACUGCCUAUGAAGCUUGGUUUGAGCUUCAAGAAAGGUACACGCAAAAGAAUUAUGCCACCAAAACCAGUCAACUAAGGUAUAAAUAAAUACUUUAAAUCAAGAAAAUGAUUUUGUCUCAUCAUAUUUUGAUAAAUAUAAAUCACUCUGGGAUCAGCAUAUAGAAAUAGAAAAACCAGACUGCAAGUUUUGCACAAUGUGUGUGCCUAUAUACACUAAGAAAUUUGAGAAAGAUAGAACUCACCAAUUUCUUUUAAGACUUAAAAAUUAAGAUCUUAUGACCAUAAGAAGUCAAGUUUUAGCAUAUUCUAAAUUACCAUCCAUGAACCAAGUUAUUUCUUUAUUUAUUCAAGAAGAAAAACAAAAGGUCAAUUUUAGAGAAAAAAUAAGUAGAAAUUCAACAACCCUAUAUACUAAGAAGAAUGAAAAAGAGGAAAAGAAUGAUGAACCAAAGAAGAAGGGAGUGUGUAGUAAAAAUGGAAAGAAAUUGGACACCAAUUUCUACUGUGACAAUUGCAAGUAUUUUGGUCAUCUUAGGGAGGAUUGCUAUCAUAUAGUGGACUUUCCAAAGAAAAACAAAAAUAACUCAAAGAAAGCAAAGGACUCUGCAAAUCAGGCAACUACUUCAACCAAUAUGCCUAAUCUAAGCAACGAGGAGCUCCUAUUACUCAAGGAUUUAUUGAACAAAUCCUCUGGUAUAUAUGUAUUUUUCCUUAAAUAUUUUAAAUUAUAAAAAUGUCUGGAUCAUUGAUAUUGGAGCAUCCCAUGAUUAGGGUUAAUUAAACAUGAUCAUCCAUACAAACUAUGUAUCGGCAAUUUAGAUUCUACAAGAUUCACAACUAGUGCAUCGUCAAAUUCGAGGGAAAUUCGAGGUUAGAGACCCCACCUUAAAACUUUAUAAAGAACAAGUCCUCAAACUAUUAAGAAAUUUUGAAAAGAUAAAAUUCAAUAUAAUAAACAAAAACUUGAAUGAGGAAGCCGAUGCACUAGACAAGUUAAGACCAGUCCUCUCACCGUUAGAAGAAAGAAAAUAGAUUCAAAUGUGAAAGAAUUACAUUCGCCCUCAAUUUACAUAAUCACAUACGAGGAAGAUAACUGGAGAGUCCCUAUCUUUAAAUAUUUAAACAGCGAAAAGUUAAAAUAUGACAAAAAAAAUGAAGAAAAUAAGAAAUCAAGCAGCCCACUUUUCAACAAUAGAACACGGAAUAAUUAGGAGAAAUGCAAAAGACAGCGAUUUACCUCCCGUGGCUAAAUCAAUUUAGCUACGGAUUUGACCAAAGGGCCACUAAUCUUGGUCGUGGUUGUUUUCUUGUAGUAACAGCUUGUGUGUCUCAAUAGAAGAAGGAAAAGCAAUAGCGAAAAGUAUACACUAUGGAGCAAAUGGAGCACAUCAGGGAGGUAGGAAUUUAAAUUUACAAGUCCAGAAGCAGGAAUAUUAUUGGCCACAGAUGGAAUGGCAUACCAAAAAAAUAGCAAAAGACUGCAAGGAGUACUGUCAAUUGUACGCAAAUAUUUAAAGAGGACCUUCUACAGAAUUAACAAGCAUUGUAACUCCGGUACCUUUCGCUAAAUAGGGUUUGGACAUAGUGGGUCUAUUUCCCACAACAUCCAAUGGAAGAAUUUUUUUUUUGUAGCAGUAGACUAUUUGACCAAAUGGACAGAAGGCAAACCAGUAAAAACAAUUUCCCAAGAAAACGCUGUAAAGUUUGUAUUCAAAAGCAUAGUAUGCAGAUUCAGGGUCCCAGUACAUAUCAUCACCGACAAUGGAACGCAAUUUGCAGGAAGUGGCAUGAAAAAGUUUUGCAAGGAUAAUGAGAUAAAAUUAAGCUUUUCUUCAGUUUAUCACCCGCAAUCUAACGGCCAAGUAGAAGCAACAAAUAAAACCUUGAUCAAUAUUCUGAAAAGAAAAAUAGGUGAAAACCCUAAGGUAUGAGUAGAUCUAAUACCAAAAGUACUGUGGGUUUACAGAACAACAAUAAAGACAGCAAAUGGUAACACCUUGCAAAACUUAGCUUUUGGACUAGAAGCAGUAGCACCUUGCGAGUUAGUAUGGUCAUCAACAAGAAUCUCGUCAUACAGCGAAGAAUCUAACGAGGAAAGGAUGAUAGAUAAUACGGGAAGAAUAGAGAAAAUUAGAGAAGAAGCUGAAAUAAAUAGAAAUAGCAUAUAAAAGAAAGUUGGAAAGAAGUUAUAACAGAAGGGUCAAAGGAAAGAACUUAGCAGUGGGAGAUUUGGUACUCAGAAACGCUCGUUUGAUAAUGACUGAACAAAAUAAAGGCAAAUUAUCACAAAAUUGAGAAGGCUCAUAUAUCAUCAAGAAAGAAUGGAAGCCAGAAACAUUUAAGCUAAUGAAGAAAGAUGGUUCUAAAAUACCAAGGACAUGGCAUGCGUAUAAUCUGAGAAAGUAUUUUCCCUAGUCAUCAAAAAUCAAAAUGGUACAUAUUGUAAAUUAUCAUCAACUAAUAAAUAAAUGGUCCACUUUAUAAAUACUUGAGAGUUAAGGGUCCGAAAAGAAUAUUCGUGGAGAAGAAAAAUAAUAUACCCCGUGGAGAAGCAAAACUAUCAAACAUAAGUUUUACGACGAUGGUAGUGGGAGGGGGUGUAGAGUGCAUGGUACCCAUACACCCCGUGGUAGGUAUAGUAGCCAAAGCUGGAUACCUCCGCAGACUGAAGCUGCACUAGGUGCCUUUUCACAUUAAGCAAUAGUUGGUUUUGUCGUUCGAGUAGGGCCGACAGACGAUUAUUGGUUCCUUCAUCCGCGGAGGUAACAAGUAAGCUUGCAAUUGUUAGGCAAGUUAGUUAAGCAUUAGUUAAGCGGUUAGUCAUUGUAAACAAUAUAUAUAAAUAUCAAGUUCAUCAAUAAAGAUCAACACAUUGAGUAUCAUUUCUUCACUUUGUAAUAUGGUAUCGAGAGCAGGCGUUCUUCCAGAGACGGCGCAAUUUUUUCUUACUAUUUUCAUCUGCUAGAAUCGCGAUCCAGAGACCACGCAAUUUCUCUUCCGCUCCAGGUUUCUCUUCCGUUCCAGGUUGACGCAAAUCCAGAGACAACACGUCGAUUUUUCUUGCGCGAUCGAUUUUUCUUCCACGCUUGAUUUCUCUUCCGCGUUGCGAUCAAGGUGGCCGCAAGUGUAAAAUUGGAUCAUACCAAUUUCUUCUCCUGGAAGGCGCAAACGGUAGGCCAUCUCCGCGGCUAUGGUUUUCUAAAAUACAUCGAGUCUCCCGUCGAUUCCACAACGGCGGCAGCGGUACAACAUGAUCAAUUGUUGUUGGGAUGACUUCUGUCCGCCCUCUCUCCAGCCAUGUUACCUCAGGUGACUGCCUUCACAACGUCGCUCCAGAAUAUUUUCAAUUACAAAUCUAAAUCAAGGAGGCUUCAACUAAGGCAUGAAAUAUUUACCUUCAAGAAAGGGGGUCUUACCGGCGACGAAUACCUAGCGGCGCUGUCCAGAAAAGUCGAUGAAGUGAGGGACACCGGAAUCGAGAUGGAAGACGGCGAGCUCGCUCUGAUUGCUUUGGACGGACUCGACACUUCCUACGACAUCUUCGUCACCGCGGUCACCGCAUCGGCAUGCGAUCUCGCGUUUUCUGAAUUCAAGGGGCUACUACGAGCCUAUGAAAAAUGUCAUAAUCGCCAAAUUUCAUUCCCAUAGGCAAAUCUGGUCCAAUCUGAGGGUCAUUUUAAAUCUAAUUCCAACUCUAUUAUAUAUAUGUGAAAUUUGUUCCAAACCAGGUCACUCGAAUGUGGCUUGUUUCACUCGGCACAAUGAAUGCAGAUUUCCUACUCCGCCUAAUCCUCGUCGCAACAGAUAUCGAGGAUAUCAGAACAAUGAAAAUAAAAAGGCAGAGGCUAAUGUGGGUUGGUACACAGACUCUGGUUGUACAGAUCAUGUGACACAAAAUAAAGAAACAUUGAAGGAGGUUGACCUUGUUCCCAGAGAAACAAAUUUGACAGUUGCAAAUGGGAAUAUUAUUUCAAUUAAAUCUACUGGUAAAACCAAAUAUUCUUGCGAUGGUAGAUUGGUUUUGCUUAACGAUGUUCUUCAUAUACCAGAAAUUAAGAAGAACUUAUAAUCUGUUAAGAAAUUAUGUAAAGAUAAUUCAGUCAAGGUUAUAUUUGACAAUGACAUUGUUUCUAUUAAGGAUCGAACGACUGAUGAAAAGCUGGCGGUUGGAGGUAUCAAGGAAGGACUCUACUAUAUUGAUUUUGAGGAGCAACGAAAUUUUCCUAGUGUGAAUUUGGCGACAAAAGCUUCGGUCUUUAUCUGACAUGAGAGAUUUGGUCAUGCAAAUAACAAAGUAAUUAAAAGUAUGAUUAGGAAAUUUAAUCUUCCUGUAAUAAAAAAUAAUAAUAAUAAAAGUAAAUAUCAACAUUGUUUGGUUGGUAAGAUACACAGAUCUUCAUAUCACUCUCUUUCGGAAAAAUCCUCAUCUAUGCCACUUGAACUCGUGUAUGCCAAUGUCUGGGGCCCAGCACCGGUAAUAUCUGAAAAUGGUGAAAGAUAUUUUGUUAAUUUUGUGGAUGAUUUCAGCAGGUACGAUUGGUUGUUUCCAAUCAGUACAAAAUCAAGUGUUCGGGAUAUAUUCGUAAAAUUUAAAGCUCUAAUCGAAAAUUAGUUGAACCGAAAAAUGAAAAUGCUUCAAACAGACAAUGGUGGCGAAUUCUUGGCGUUAAAACCACUUCUUGAUCAGUUUGGAAUCAAACAUAGACGCUCUUGUCCUCAUACUCACCCACAAAUGGGGGUGGUUGAACGCCGACACAGGUAUAUUAUAGAUGGUACACUCACACUACUCAACCGAACAAAUUUACCAAAGAGCUUCUGAAAUUACGCAACAUCCACCAUAGCUUUUCUUUAUAACAGAACCUCAACAAAGGUUCUUGGAGGAAAUAUACCAUUCGAAUUAUUAUUCGGGAAGUCUCCAAACGUAAAAGAUUUAAAAACAUUUGGGUGUCGUGCUUACCCGAACUUGCGACCAUUUCAGAAAUACAAGUUUUCAGAAAUAUCAACUGCUCAUAUAUUUAUCGGUUAUCCUCGAGAACACUCCAGCUACAUGUGUUUAAAUUCAGUUACCAAGAAAACAAUUAUUUCGAAUGAUGUAGUCUUCAUUGAAGACAAUUUUGAAUUAAAUAAAAUGUUACAUAUAGGUAGUCUUCCUACACCGGCGGGGAUUGAGAUGAAUCUGAUCCCGGUUAUCAAGGCCAACCCUAUCUCGGUUAAUAUGAAUCUGGUUUCAAAUGAACAAGAUGACACAACAGAACGAGUGGAGGAACAAAUUAUUCUAGAUCAGGCUCAAAUCAGGUUAAACCAGGUUAAUCAAGCCCAGACUGAGCCCAACACUAUUCCAGAUGCACCACAUCAUAUGACUACUCGUGCGAAAUCAGGAAUUGUGAAACAAAAUUCCAAGUACGCAUUUCAAGUCUCCACUACUUCCCUAGUCCCAUCUGGUUUUUCCGAAACUGCAUGUAAUCUACGUUGGAAAAUGACCAUGGAUAACGAGAUAUAAGCCUUACAUCAGAAUAAUACAUGGACAUUGGUGUCUCUGGAUCCAUCGCAAAAUGUACUCUCAUGCAAAUGGGUGUUUAAACAGAAGUUAGAUGAAGCGGGCAAUAUUGAUCGUUUUAAAGCCCGGCUAGUUGCGAAUGGAAUGCGUCAACUUGACGAAAUAGAUGUUGAAGAAACAUUCACUCCGGUCAUCAAACCACCAACGGUGAAGAUCUUGCGAUCACUUGGAGGUGGAAACUAUGGCAAUUCGACGUUUCCUACGCAUUCUUACACGGUACCUUGAAAGAAGAUGUUUUUAUGCAACAACCACCGGGCUACAAGGAUCCCAAUAAUCCCAAAGGAAUUUGCAAGUUACUCAAGUCCAUUUACGGGUUACGAUAAUCUCCACGAGCUUGGUUUCAUAGUCUCCGAGACUUUCUAGUUUCAUUCGGAUUUACGGAAUCGGUUUCUGAUCAAUCUCUUUUCAUGUACUUCCACGAGAAUAUCAAGACGUAUCUUGUUUACGUCGAUGAUAUUAUCUUUCCGUCUUCUUCAAAACAGUUCACCCAACUCUUUGUAACAAAAAUCAGUAAAGAAUUCGCCAUCAAGGAUUUGGGGAUGUUAAAGUUCUUUCUAGGUAUACAUGUCAACAUAUUACCAAAUGACUCGCUCCUUCUCACACAAUACCAGUACUUGGGCCUUGGCUAAUCUACUCCAUGGGGCAAAUCUGAAACUUGUUCCAACGCCAAUGGAACCUCGAGGAUCUCUCUACAAUCAAUCACCGGAACUAGAUACAACAGAUUGCACAAAGUUUAGACAAAUUGUGGGGUUACUACAAUAUUUAACCGUGACUCGACCCGAUAUCGCUUAUAAUGUAAACAAGGUUUCACAAUUCAUGAAGAAACCUAAAAAGGUACAUUGGAUAGCUCUAUAACGAAUAUUUUGCUAUCUCUCCGGCACGCCAUACGUAGGGAUUACAAUAAGCAAAAUAAAGGAGUUAGAGCUCAUCGCUUUUUCUGACGCCGAUUGGGCCAGUGACCCAUUUGACAGAAGGAGUCACGAUGGUCAUCUAAUAUUCUUGGGGGACAACCUUAUCACUUGGCAAUCGAAGAAACAAUCCUCUGUCGCAAGGUCUUCAACUGAAGCGGAGUAUCGGAGCCUAGCAGAUGCGGCGGUAGAUUUGAAUUGGACACAAUCGGUGAUUAAAGAAUUAGGGUUACAAAUUAAACUCCCAUUCGUGAUAAGGUGCGAUAAUAUAGGAGCUAAUUAUCUUACAAAUAAUCCAAUAUUUUAUGCGAAAUCAAAACACAUUGCGAUUAUCUAUCACUUUGUCAGAGAGCAGGUAGAGGCCGGCUCACUCAUGGUCAAACAUAUCGGCACCAAGGAUCAGUUAGCAGAUAUCUAACAAAACCGCUUACUAUUUCUAUUUUUGAGUUUUUAAAAUCCAAACUUAUCAAUUUACUCCCUCUAAGUUUGCGGGGGGGAUGUUAGGCAAGUUAGUUAAACAUUAGUUAAGCGGUUAGUCAUUGUAAACAAUAUAUAUAGAUAUCAAGUUCAUCAAUAAAGAUCGACACAUUGAGUAUCAUUAUUUCACUCUGUAAUAGCAAUGACUCCAUGCUGGUAAACUAACUCCAACCCAUACUCUUCUAGAAGUGAUCGUGUCAUGGUCCGAGUGAAGCAGCAAAAGCGAAGGACGGGGGGGAGUAACUGUUGCGGCUUUAUUUGGCCGGGUUAAAUAUUAUACCCGGACUAAACAAAACCCAACAAAUAUGCAUUCCUGAAACCAGGCUACAUGGCAGUAUCCUCUCUACGUCGACACCUGUCCAGACUACGUGUUAAAGAAUUACAUGCAAAAUUGUACUAUAAGAAGGGAGCAAGAUUAACGGACAAGGGGGGGAGAAAUAUUGAAACACCUAUCGACAGGCGUAUUCCAUGGCACUAGUUUUAGUUUUUUCAAAAUCGGUUCACAACGGCGGAGAUACUAUGAUGAUGUUGUAUAUGAUGGGCUUUUCUCUCUCCAUCUUGUCCAUGGCGAUCUUCGUGUGUGGAAAAUUCAAGAAAAAAAUGAAACAUGGUAGCCAUGGUGCUGGUUAUUAUGGCGAUGGUGGUGAUGGAGGAGGUGGCGACGGAGGUGGUGGUGGUGGCAAUGGAGGAGGUGGUGGUGGCAACUGAGGAGGCUAUAGGAGAGGGUCGUUAAUGCUUAACUAUAGUAUAAUUAAUUAUAUAGGAACCGCUUUUGGUGUGGUUGGGUGCGCCGGCGAGAACUUCACUACCAAGGCGCUCCUCUGGACGUCGCCACACCUCCGAACAGUCACUAGGCGGUCGCGAACAUCGCCAUCCGACGGUCCGCCGCACCUGAAACCCAGUGUAAUUAUAUAUAAAAUAAGAAUUGUUAUUUUCUAUUUUGUGAAUGAUUGGUUUGAGAUAAGAUUGAUCAAUAUAUACGCAAAUACACUACAAGAAAAUAAACUUUUAACGACGGAUUUUGGCAUUCAUGUCUAAAUUUUCACAUAUCUCUUGAAAUCAUUCUUUCGAAAACCCACAAAAAUCAUAAAUUCCCAAUCCUGUUUGUCUAAUUUUUGUUUAUAUGGUCUUAACAUUAUAUUUUUUAUUUAAAUAUUUUUUUUCGGGUUGGUAGAUCUCUUAUGAUUCACACUAAUUCACAUUGACAAGCCUAAAUCAGACCGAAUCCGCCUGGAUCCUAUCCAAAUUCACACUAAGGGUGGCACAUUACCUUGCAUCUGCGCAAAAGCACGCACUGCAUAUGCGCAUCCGAAACUUUGAUUAUAUGUAAUUAGUUAUAGACAUGAACAUGCAAUUAGUUAUAGACCUGAACAUGCAAUUAGUUGUGGACCUGAACAUGCAAAUAGUUAUAUACUUGAACAUAUAAUUAAUUGUACACAUGAUUAUGUAAUUAGUUAUAACCUGAACAUAUCUUAGUUAUACAUCUGGACAUGGGAUGGAUUCUUGACAAAAAAGAAAAUUGUCGGAAAAUAUAACGGUCGGAGAAGAAAAUAUCAAAAAAUAAAAUGUCAGAUACAACCGAGAUUCAGAAACUUCGACGAUGCAAAAAGAGAAAAGACAAACACAAAGAGAAAACGUGAAAACUCGAUCAAAGAAGAUUAAGAUUCGAUCGACGAGAAAGUAAACUGGAAGUUGAGAGUGAUAAGUGUGAAAUGAUGAAAGAGUGAGAAGAUGUGGUUAAAUAUUGGUUAUUAAGACUGAAGAUUCAGAAUUUCCUUUCAAUCGACUGGUAAAUCUCCUGUAUUAAUUCAGAUGAUCGAUCGGUUGCCCACCGACCAACCAGAUGAUCGAUCAAUCUGAGCUCAAACUAGCUAGACAUUUAUCCAAUCAUAUACAAAAUAGAAAAUAACAAGUCUAAUUUUAUUUAUAUAAUUAUACUAUAGUUAAGAAUUAACUACCACCACCACCGUUGCCACCACCACCUCCUCCGUCACAACCACCACCAUCGCCACCAAAGAAGUCACCAAAACAACCAUAAUGGACGCCAGGACUACUAACGUGACGAUCAUGUUUCUUUUUUUUCUUGGACUUCCCGCACACGAAGAUCGCCAUGGACAAGAUGGAGAGGGAGAAACCCACCAUAUACAACAUCAUCAUGGUAUCUCUGUCGCUGUGAAUCGAAUUUGAGAAAACUCGCGCCAUGGAAUAUGACCAAUCGGGUUUCCUCUAAAG